GAGAUUUCAGAGAAUAUAGAUUUUUCUAAGUUUAAAUUAAAAAGAGAUUUUAAAAUUAAAUAGAGAUUUUAGAGAAUAUAGAUUCUUCUAAGUCUAAAUUAGAAAGAGAUUUGAAAAUUAAAUUGUUGGAUGUAGAGAGAUUAGUUGUUAUUAGGAUGAGAAUGUGGGAAAGAGAGAGGGAAAAGGGUAUAGGUUUUGUUAAAGGUGGG
rnacentral:lncRNA from 1 species